UUCAUAGUAGGAUUGACUUGAUCAUAAUCUUCUAAAGAUUAUAAUUAGUAGAAAGCCAUAGUAAGGCUAACUAGAUCAUAAUCUUGCUAAAUAGUAUAACCAACAAAAAGAUCCAUACUACUACUAACUAGAUCAUAAUCUUGCUGAUUAUAAUUAGCAAAAAUAUUCAUAGCACGAUUAACUAGAUUAUAAUCUUUGGUUGUAACUAGCAAAAAGAUUUAUAGUAGGAUUAGCUAGAUCAUAAUCUUGCUGAAGAUUAUAACUAACUGAAAGAUCCAUAGCAGGAUUAAACUGGUUUAUAAUCUUGUCGAAGAUUGUAACUAGCUAAUCUUGCUAACAUAUUCAAUGGCAAAAUUUUCGAAAAAUUUAGUUGAUAUACGAACCGACUGUUCUUAAGUAAAGUUUGCUUUAUUGGUUAGUUACGCUACCAGAUCUGCAAGAUUUGAAUUCCAUAAUUAAUUUGUCGUUAGAUGUUGAACAAUACAUCUCUUAACUAGUUAUAAUCUUGAAUAAGAUCGUGUUAACCUAUUCAUUGGCAUGAUUUACCGAAAAUCUAGCUGCUCAGCAAGAGUUUUCGUUCAUGUCAUUGAAUAUGAACUAUGCUAGAAACUGGUUAUUAAUGAGUAAUUAUCCUAAAAUUUUAAGUGAGAAUAAGAAGGCAUUUUGACCAUGUUUUCGAUGGGCAGAAAUUUUGAUUUUUAUCUUCGUAUUGCUUUAAAAACUCGGAAUUUUCUGGUAGUUAGAAAUUUUCAUUCUCAUCAGUUCUUUUUAUAAAGUAGUGCUGAAGCAUCAAACUGUUUCUUUAUAUUAUUUAAACGGUUGAUUCUCAAAUAUUGAGCUUACAAAACGGCACGGCAAAAACAAAAUUUAUACAAAAUCGUACGGAUGUGUAGCUAGUACAUGUUUUAUGGGAGCUACGAUUUAAUUAAUAAACGAUCCAAUGUCUCCAAACUGGGAGAACAGAGAGAGAGAGAGAUAUAGUCUGGAUUUUAUCCCAAUAACAAUCUGAUGCCAAAUCUGUCGCUAUUGCUACUAAUCUGUCUAUAUUACUUAGUAAUGAAUCCUGCAGAGCAGCAUGCAAUAAUCAUUAAGACAUUUAUUUCUUCGCUACCGUAUCCACCAGCAGCUUUGAUGAUCGUGCACCAUCUUUAUAAGUAAGUAGAGUAAAAUUUAAACUGGGAAAAUUCGUUCUUUUCACUUGUCACAUCAUAGUUUUCGGAAAUUUAAGCUGUUGCCACAAAUCAUACUAACGUUCAGAACGAUCUUGAGCCUUUUUUAAGGCGUUAUUCUUCUAUCGGACUAAGAAAAGUUGGUGCUUCUUCAGUCCUUGUUUACUAUCAUCUAUGGGUGAGUAGUUUCUAUUCAUGCUAAAACGUUGAUUCUGAAGACACUUGACGUUUGAUAAUCUUCACACGUGUGUGUUUUGAAACGGGAAGGAAGUUGCGAUGAUCUACUCACUUAUCUAAAUUAAUAAUUUAAAUAUCAAUGAUCUGUUGAUGCUGUAUAUUCCGUUACUCGUCCAACUGCCGAAUUUCCUCGCACUAACGCUUUAGCUAACUACCAAUUUGGGUUUUGAGAUUGAUCUUUUAACCUCCUGUCAACUCGAUAGCCUAAAGAAUCUGACGAAUGUUGGUGACGUUCGGUUAUCUCUACACAAUAACAAUAAUGAGCUCUGAUAUGUCACACUUUCUAGUUUUGUUUGCACGGUUCAGAACUUGCAUCCUAAUUUUAUCUGUUGACAAGUUUAACGAUCUGGAUAGAGUCGGAAUGCGUAGUUUAGAUUCGGGAAUUGUUAUUGAUUUGGUGAAAAACACUCUCGUGUGUUCGAUGUUUUACCGCUUCUACAAUUUGAUUCGCAACUUCUAGACCCGUGUAAGUUGCCAUUACUGCGUGGAUUGAUAGGGAAAAAACACUACCCAGUCGUUGAUAAACUGGACGGCAAAAAAAAGUAUAUUUUAAAAUAUGUUGUUGCAAAUCCCGGUUGACGUUGUUGGCUUACUUAAAGUUGGUCAACCUUUCAGUAACCACUGAAUGAAGUAGAAUUGUCCGUUUACGAUAGAGACUCGUACAGUAGCGAUUAUAGGUCAUUCCAGUUUCGACAGUUAACGGGGUGUUACUGCUCCCGGUUUUCUUGUUUUCGGUGGUUUCCCGUCGUAGUUACGGACGUUAACACAAUUUAAAAACGCGUAUUUAAUAGUUAACAAGCGCUACUUCGCCAAACAACCGAUAUAUUUUAAAAAAUUAAUUUAGAAUUAACGUUUCUUUACGGAUCAAAAAAUUGCUUUUUAUACGGCUGCUGCCAAUUUCUCUCUUCACUGGACAACAGUAAAUUCCUAUCUUCUGUCAACAGAAUCUUUGAAUUGGGAAUCUAUACAGUUCUCUUCCAGGAAUUAGAGUUUGCAACCUCUAUCAGAAGUUAAAAUCUUUUUUUUCUUCUUCUUUCUUUCGUUGCUGAUACUAAUUUAUUUUUACUUUCUGAUAUCUUUCCUCUCCAAGUUUUAUUGCUGGAUAAUUCAAUUUAUGAUUAAAUCGAUUAUAUUAUAUAUAUAUAUAUUUACCGGUUAUUUUUCUUUUCGAAUUAAUAAAUAAAGAU
rnacentral:lncRNA from 1 species